CGCAGCCGCGGUAAUUCCAGCUCCAAUAGCGUAUAUUAAAGUUGUUGCAGUUAAAAAGCUCGUAGUUGAAUUUCGGGAUCAAUCUAUUGGUCGUGCAAUAGUACGUACUGAUUUUAUUGAUUCCUCCCUUCUGAUGAACUAUGAUGUCAUUAAUUUGGUGUCAUAGGGAAUCAGGACUGUUACUUUGAAAAAUUGAGUGUUUAAAGCAGGCUCACGCUUGAAUACAUUAGCAUGGAAUAACGAAAUAGGACGUUUGAUUCUAUUUUGUUGGUUUCUAGGAUCGACGUAAUGAUUAAUAGGGAUAGUUGGGGGCAUUAGUAUUCAAUUGUCAGAGGUGAAAUUCUUGGAUUUAUUGAAGACUAACUACUGCGAAAGCAAUUUGCCAAGGAUGUUUUCAUUAAUCAAGAAC
rnacentral:rRNA from 1 species